rnacentral:rRNA from 1 species
CGGAGCCAUCCUUGAAAUACCACCCUUUAACGUUUGAUGUUCUAACCCGGGUCCAUAAUCUGGAUCGGGGACCGUGUCUGGUGGGUAGUUUGACUGGGGCGGUCUCCUCCCAAAGAGUAACGGAGGAGCACGAAGGUUGGCUAAGCAUGGUCGGACAUCAUGCGGUUAGUGCAAAGGCAUAAGCCAGCUUGACUGCGAGAGUGACGGCUCGAGCAGGUACGAAAGUAGGUCUUAGUGAUCCGGUGGUUCUGAAUGGAAGGGCCAUCGCUCAACGGAUAAAAGGUACUCCGGGGAUAACAGGCUGAUACCGCCCAAGAGUUCAUAUCGACGGCGGUGUUUGGCACCUCGAUGUCGGCUCAUCACAUCCUGGGGCUGAAGUAGGUCCCAAGGGUAUGGCUGUUCGCCAUUUAAAGUGGUACGCGAGCUGGGUUUAGAACGUCGUGAGACAGUUCGGUCCCUAUCUGCCGUGGGCGCUGGAAGAUUGAGAGGGGUUGCUCCUAGUACGAGAGGACCGGAGUGAACGCACCACUGGUGUACGGGUUGUGAUGCCAAUUGCAUUGCCCGGUAGCUAAGUGCGGAAGAGAUAACCGCUGAAAGCAUCUAAGCGGGAAACUUGCCUCGAGAUGAGUCUUCCCUGACCCUUUAAGGGUCCUGAAGGAACGUUUGAGACUAAGACGUUGAUAGGCUGGGUGUGUAAGCGCAGCGAUGCGUUGAGCUGACCAGUACUAAUGAACCGUGAGGCUUAACCUG